AACGAACGCUGGCGGCAGGCCUAACACAUGCAAGUCGAGCGAGGACUUCGGUCCUAGCGGCGGACGGGUGAGUAACGCGUGGGAACGUGCCCUUUGCUUCGGAAUAGCCCUGGGAAACUGGGAGUAAUACCGGAUGAGCCCUUUGGGGGAAAGAUUUAUCGGCGAAGGCUCGGCCCGCGUUGGAUUAGGUAGUUGGUGGGGUAAUGGCCUACCAAGCCGACGAUCCAUAGCUGGUUUGAGAGGAUGAUCAGCCACACUGGAACUGAGACACGGCCCAGACUCCUACGGGAGGCAGCAGUGGGGAGUCUUAGACAAUGGGGGAAACCCUAAUCUAGCCAUGCCGCGUGAGCGAUGAAGGCCUUAGGGUUGUAAAGCUCUUUCAGCUGGGAAGAUAGUGACGGUACCAGCAGAAGAAGCCCCGGCUAACUCCGUG
rnacentral:rRNA from 1 species